GUCGCCAGUUCCUUUCGUUCGCAUUGGCUCCAUUCUGUAUCACGAACCAUAUCGGCCUCCAGUCAAUUAAUUACUCUCUUCUUAAAGCUCAUCCGACACCCUCCUAAACCCAUCGAAAUGGCUACAAUCAACUCUCUCCUCAAGUUAUACGCACUGGCUAUCGCCGCCCUCAUUUCGCUUAUCAGCUGCAGCCCGCAUCAGCAAUCACCACUCCGUCAAAAUGCCCUACCCCAGCCGCUGGACGUA
rnacentral:misc_RNA from 1 species